rnacentral:misc_RNA from 1 species
CUCGCUGGUCGCUGCCAUGGGAUCUAACAAGACCGGAGUUGUAGCAGUCAACAGAUUGAGAAGCAAGGAGUUUGAUAAGCAAGAAGGGAAGAUAAGAACACAGACCUACAAAUUGAUUUGUGGCAAAGAUGUGCAGCCAGCCACAAAACACACCGACGUCGACCUGUGGAUCGAUGGGCGGCACUGUGACACGGAUCGACGACAAUGGCCACAAACCCACAGUCUGGCAGCGGCAGCUACAGACCCACCAAUCAUCGGGCGGCAACUCCAAUGGGCAACUGAUGACCACAGAUCGACUGCGGC